rnacentral:rRNA from 1 species
UACAGAGGGGGCAAGCGUUGUUCGGAAUUACUGGGCGUAAAGGGCGCGUAGGCGGCCUGCUAAGUCGAACGUGAAAUCCCUGGGCUCAACCCAGGAACUGCGUCCGAUACUGGUUGGCUUGAAUCCGGGAGAGGGAUGUGGAAUUCCAGGUGUAGCGGUGAAAUGCGUAGAUAUCUGGAGGAACACCGGUGGCGAAGGCGGCGUUCUGGACUGCAACUGACACUGAGGAACGAAAGCCAGGGGAGCAAACGGG